GGACCAGGAGCCUGUAUAGAACGUCUCUAGGCUUGUCCUCUGUCAUUUUAGCCUGUUUGAUGAAAGGCUGUGCACUGCAUCUUCCAACUGCCCUGUAAGCGCUUUACCCUGGAAGCUCUGCUCUGCCUGGGUGGGAAGUAGAAGCAGUCGCAUCCUCCUAUCCCUCGGGACCGGGACUCGGAGGUGCCGGUCUCUCCUGGGGCUCUCUCCGGGGGGAGGCGACGCCGCAGGCAGCGGCCAGAGAACCCGGAGAGCCUUAACGGAGGGGCGAACAGUACCGAUGGGGAAGGCGCUGCCGUUCCUGCCGCGAUCAGCUUCCCAUCACUUUUCCCGGGACUUUGCUCAUCAGCUGUCACACUCCCGGGAGAGGAGACUGAGAAGACGCACGAAAGGCCCCCAAAAGCGACCCCAGGAGAGCUCUCCUCUUAGGAUGGAGACCCAUUAGACCCCACCCCACUCUACCCACCGUUCCCAGCCCCCGGGAGUCAGCCCCGAGCCGCGGCUCCCAGCAGAGCCCCGGGGUUCUGCUGCGUCUGCUGGUGCCGAGCGGCGGGAGGCGUCUGCAAUAAAGGCACGGAUAAAAA